rnacentral:pre_miRNA from 1 species
CUUUAAAAACUUCAUCCAUUUUUACGGUUAAAAACGGAGGUGUCUGACAGAAUAACUAAAUAGUUACAUGUAGCAUGCCACAUGAAUGAGUUACAAGGACCAGUUUUUAAGAUUAGAAAUGGAUGAAAUUUUAACAA